rnacentral:rRNA from 1 species
GAUGAACGCUGGCGCCGUGCUUAACACAUGCAAGUCGAACGAAGCGCUUGAAUGGAAUUCUUCGGAAGGAAGCUCAAGUGACUGAGUGGCGGACGGGUGAGUAACGCGUGGGUAACCUGCCUCAUACAGGGGAUAACAGUUAGAAAUGACUGCUAAUACCGCAUAAGCACACGUGAUCGCAUGAUCGAGUGUGAAAAACUCCGGUGGUAUGAGAUGGACCCGCAUCUGAUUAGCUAGUUGGUGGGGUAACGGCCCACCAAGGCGACGAUCAGUAGCCGGCCUGAGAGGGUGAACGGCCACAUUGGGACUGAGACACGGCCCAAACUCCUACGGGAGGCAGCAGUGGGGAAUAUUGCACAAUGGGGGAAACCCUGAUGCAGCGACGCCGCGUGAAGGAUGAAGUAUUUCGGUAUGUAAACUUCUAUCAGCAGGGAAGAAAAUGACGGUACCUGACUAAGAAGCCCCGGCUAACUACGUGCCAGCAGCCGCGGUAAUACGUAGGGGGCAAGCGUUAUCCGGAUUUACUGGGUGUAAAGGGAGCGUAGACGGCAGUGCAAGUCUGAAGUGAAAGCCCGGGGCUCAACCCCGGGACUGCUUUGGAAACUGUGCAGCUAGAGUGUCGGAGAGGCAAGCGGAAUUCCUAGUGUAGCGGUGAAAUGCGUAGAUAUUAGGAGGAACACCAGUGGCGAAGGCGGCUUGCUGGACGAUGACUGACGUUGAGGCUCGAAAGCGUGGGGAGCAAACAGG